rnacentral:rRNA from 1 species
UGUGGAGCGAAUCUCAAAAAGAAUAGUCUCAGUUCGGACUGUGGGCUGCAACCCGCCCACACGAAGUCGGAGUUGCUAGUAAUCCCGAAUCAGCAUGUCGGGGUGAAUGCGUUCCCGGGUCUUGUACACACCGCCCGUUACGCCAUGGGAGUCGGAAGUGCCCAAAGUCGGUGACCUAACCGCAAGGAAGGAGCCGCCUAAGGUAAUGCCGAUGACUGGGGUGAAGUCGUAACAAGGUACC